GUGAAGACCGUGGCGGCAGCGGGGGUAAGUCGGGGGGGGGGGUGGUGGGCCGGAAGCAUUGGGGGUAAAGGGAGCGGAGGCGGCUCAUUAAGUGGCUGGUGAAAUCCCGGGGAUCAACUCCGGGGGUGCCGGUCAGACUGGUGGGCGUGAGCGCGGUAGAGGCGGAUGGAAGUCCCGGUGUAGCGGUGGAAUGCGUAGAGAUCGGGAAGAAUACCGGUGGCGAAGGCGUUCCGCUGGGCCGUUGCUGACGCUGAGGCGCGACAGCGUGGGGAGCAAACAGGAUUGGAUACCCCAGUAGUC
rnacentral:rRNA from 1 species